CCCUUUGUAGCUCAGUUGGAUUAGAGCAUCGGACUGUAAUUGCAAAAACACACACCUCAUCCGGGGGCCCCCGGUUCGAUUCCGGGCGAAGGGA
rfam:Pseudogymnoascus pannorum VKM F-4519 (FW-2642) contig_2212, whole genome shotgun sequence.